rnacentral:rRNA from 1 species
GGCGAACGGGUGAGUAACACGUGGGCAAUCUGCCCUGCACUCUGGGACAAGCCCUGGAAACGGGGUCUAAUACCGGAUAUGACCGUCUUCCGCAUGGUGGAUGGUGUAAAGCUCCGGCGGUGCAGGAUGAGCCCGCGGCCUAUCAGCUUGUUGGUGGGGUGAUGGCCUACCAAGGCGACGACGGGUAGCCGGCCUGAGAGGGCGACCGGCCACACUGGGACUGAGACACGGCCCAGACUCCUACGGGAGGCAGCAGUGGGGAAUAUUGCACAAUGGGCGAAAGCCUGAUGCAGCGACGCCGCGUGAGGGAUGACGGCCUUCGGGUUGUAAACCUCUUUCAGCAGGGAAGAAGCGAAAGUGACGGUACCUGCAGAAGAAGCACCGGCUAACUACGUGCCAGCAGCCGCGGUAAUACGUAGGGUGCGAGCGUUGUCCGGAAUUAUUGGGCGUAAAGAGCUCGUAGGCGGCUUGUCACGUC